rnacentral:rRNA from 1 species
GACAGAGGGUGCAAACGUUGUUCGGAAUUACUGGGCGUAAAGCGCGUGUAGGCGGUUAUGCAAGUCGGGUGUGAAAGCCCCGGGCUCAACCCGGGAAGUGCAUUCGAUACUGCGUAGCUAGAGUACUGGAGAGGAUGGUGGAACUCUCGGUGUAGAGGUGAAAUGCGUAGAUAUCAAGAGGAACACCUGAGGUGAAGACGGGUUGCUGGGCUGACACUGACGCUGAGGCGCGAAAGCUAGGGUAGCAAACGGG